AGUGAACGCUGGCGGCAGGCCUAACACAUGCAAGUCGAACGGCAGCACAGUAAGAGCUUGCUCCUACGGGUGGCGAGUGGCGGACGGGUGCGGAAUAUAUCGGAAUCUACUUUUUCGUGGGUGAUAACGCAGGGAAACUUACGCUAAUACCGCAUACGACGUACGUGUGAAAGCAGGGGAUCUUCGGACCUUGCGCGAUUGUAUGAGCCGAUGUCGGAUUAGCUAGUUGGCGGGGUAAAGGCCCACCAAGGCGACGAUCCGUAGCUGGUCUGAGAGGAUGAUCAGCCACACUGGAACUGAGACACGGUCCAGACUCCUACGGGAGGCAGCAGUGGGGAAUAUUGGACAAUGGGCGAAAGCCUGAUCCAGCCAUACCGCGUGGGUGAAGAAGGCCUUCGGAUUGUAAAGCCCUUUUGGUGGGAAAGAAGAGCAGCAGGUUAAUACCCCGCUGUUCUGACGGUACCCAAAGAAUAAGCACCGGCUAACUUCGUG
rnacentral:rRNA from 1 species